CCACCACCUCCCCCUUUGCUCAUUUUCUUCACUCUCCACUCCCUCACACUCUCCUCCUCUCCUACACCACGAAAUGCUGCUCCUCCUAGCAACCAUGGCCGGCCAUGGCCAUGGAAACCUCUCCAAGAUGCGACUCCCUCCUCCCUCAAGCUCCUCCUCACCAUGAGAGCCUCCCUCUCCUUCUUCUCCCCAACCCUAGAUGGUUUUCUCUCCUCUUCCUCUUCCUCCAUUGCUAAGAUUGGAUCUUGAUGCAGGUGCAUGUUGGUCCAAGCAUGGAGAAGCUUGAGCUAUCCUCAGAUCUGAAGUUCUUGAGCAAAAUCCAAAUCGAGUGAUUCAAAAUUCCGCGGAUAGAUACAGAAAAGAUCUACAACUUGGCGUUGGUCUCAUCCUCAAAUUCGUUACGGAUUGUCCGUGGUGAAAGCCCUCUUCAAUACCUUCAUUUUGGCGGUGGUUUCACUUCGAUUGACCUCCUGAAACUGAAAUGGUUCACAGGUCAAGAUCUGGUCAGAUCUGACUUUGUCGAAUUAAACCAGGAGCUUGGGAACGAAUUUUUGAAUGAAACCAAUUGAGGGAUACUUAGUUGUGCCAUGGUGAUACCUAGAGAGGCAAUUGCUAAGUCGUGGCACUCUCAUACCUUUACUAGAUGCGAACAAUUUCGGAGGAGAAGAAGAAGAAGUGGAAUCGGACAAGGAUUUUAUUUGUACUGUGGGAAUUCUUAUUUGAUGGAGUUGAAGAAGUCCAGGGACAAAUAAGCCAAUGCAAGCCAUCUUUUGAUCUCUGAUAUGAUGUCUCUUUGGAUGUCAUCUUGUGCUAUCAAUAGCAUCUUGGUUCAAUGUGUGAUGAUCUCCAUAUUGUUGUCAUCUAUGCUUGGAUGCAAGCAUGGUACCUCUAGUAGUUUUAUCUUGUCAA